UUUAAGUGCAUCACAAAAUCUGUGGUGAAAAGGGAAUCCGGGUGUAAAUCCCGAGCGAUCCGGUCACUGUAAUCAGGGAGCAAGACGCAGAAAUGCCAUUGUACGAUUUGUAUGAGAAGGCGCGUUACGCGAUGAUCUGUAAGUCAGGAAACCUGCUUAUCUU
rnacentral:ncRNA from 1 species